UCUUCCAUGGUCCAGUAAAGUGUUGAAUUAUUUAAUCUUUAUUUUUUUGGCAAUAUUAGUGUUCUUGGGACUUGGGAGUAUAAAGUUUGGGGAGAGGACUCGGUUAAGAUAUAUGCAACUUGCAAGCAGUGAGCAUUUCAUAAACCUAAAAUGUGGGGGCUUGGUGUCUAAAGAUUAUUUUAGGGUGUCGGUCCAUAGAAUCACCCAAUUUGAUAUCAGACGGAUAAUGGAAUGUUGAAAUGGUCACCCGAGCUAAAGUGAGAUUUCUAUUCUUCCUAUUCAUCUCCAUUGUCCUUUAGUUUCACCUCACUUUCUGUUGCUUUUCUUUUUUAAUUGUGACCAUCUAGAUGUUAAUAUAAACAAAGACUAUUAGUAGACAUACUCGGUGGGCUAUUUUUUUUUUUUUUUAAAGACUAACUGAGAAAAAUCUUUAGUAAGGCUUCGCAUCAUCACAGAUUCACAUGUGUGAACAAAGACUAUACAAGCAAAAAAAAGAACUAGACAAUAUGCUAACUAAACAAAGACCAUGACUAUACAGCAUUCACACAAACACCGAUCCAGUUUCUGUUUUUGUCCCUUUCCUCACCCUAGCUUGUAUUAAAGAAUGCUUGGAAUGAAAAAGCGCGGUCCUUGUAUCGCCAAUACUUUAACACAUUAUAUAUGUAUAUAUAUUGUAGUACAAAUAGUAGUCUAAACUCACACACAAUAUUAAGAUGUCAUGGUGAUUCGAACCUGAAACCUCUGGUUUGUCAGAUAAAUUCUCCUCAGCCAUAUAUAAGAGCCUGUUGGGGUUGACAUGCUUGUGACUCAAAUUAUGUGUCCCUUGCAUUACUGUUCAAUAAAAGCAGGAUUGAAUAAUGACCAGUUUUUGUAUUUAAAAAAUAUACAUACAUAUAUAUAUAUAUAUAUUUGUGUCCAACACGACCAAUUUUAGUGAUGGAGAAAAGAUAUAGAGAUGGGAGUGGAUCCACUAUCCCCAAACCAAAUUAAAACUAAACUAAUCUAAUAGGUUUCAAGUGUUUUUAGCUAAAUUUUAGUAAAAAAAUAGAAGGCAUAAUUGUAGAUAUUCUUAAUACCACCACCGUUUUCUUUUUCUUUUUUGUCAAAAUCCCACAACCACCUUCAACCUCACCAGAUCCAAAUCCUGUAACUCCUUUGUAACAAUUACUUUAAUCAAUACAAGACAACAAUUCUCUCAAAUGUCUCUCCGUUUUGCAUUUAUAGAACACGUCCCAACCAUUUACACAAACAUCAACGCGCUCACACGGAUAUGUUUUUAAUGAAAUUAUGAUGCAAAUAAUUACAUACUCGGUUUUGUCCUCAGGCUUUUGGAGAUAUUAUUAGUGUAACAAGUUUCUAUUAAACAACUACAUAUUGGCCCUGGUUUUUGACGAGUUAGUCUAUAAAAUAACGAAUCCUUUUAUUUUGUUGAACCUUACCUAAUACCUACCAUCAUCGACAAUGAUUCCUGUAUAAUUUCAAAAUUUUAUUUUGCAGGACCUCACCUAAUACCUACCAUCAUCGAUAAUGAUACCUUAAUAAUUUGAAAUUUCAGUCUUUUGUUUUCUUUUUGCGUCAAGUACUUUUUGAGUAUUGUGUAUCAAUUUGGAUUUUAAAAAUAUGUUUUGUUACGAAAAAUCUUUGCUGAGAUUUCUGAUAUCCACAUGUGAACAUAGACUUAGACAAAAUACUUAUUAAACAAAGACCGACAAUUCACAAGUCAUUCUUUACUCGAAGUCUAAUUCAUUUCAUGCCCAAAUCAGUGUUUGGUGGUUCCCGACCUCCAUUCACUAUUGUUGAGUUGAGUCACUUUAGGGCAAAUCUAUAUUUCUUUCACUGUUUGAAAUGAAAGGACCCGCCCCGAAUUUUCUCAAAAUCCGAGACGAACCCUUUGGAAUUCCUGACAUCACCCCGAUGCCAGGCCCACUUACAAGAAAACCGAGACUUCCUGCCGAAAUUUCGGCAGAGUCUCCCCUAUAAUUUGGACAUUUCCCAAAAUUUCAACCUGCAUAAAAACACAUUUAAUAUUCCUAACUGGCAGCAUGCACAAUAUAAUUUCAUGCAAAUUCUCAUAUAUGGCUUUCGGCCUUCCAAAAUUCUCAAACAACUACCAAACAAUUCAAAUACCAAUUAUGAUUAAUAUUUAGUCUGCGGCUGCACCUAAUAACCUUAGGCUGCCUACGUACCCUCCUUGAGGGAUCAAGCCACACGUAGUUCUUCCCUAAAACCCAAUUCCACACUUGGGCGAUACCUUAUUUCAUUUUUCUGUAUUUCACAUAUUCUCCCCAUACGCCGGUACAACCAACGCCACGUAUGGGGCCUGUCAACACUCCGGAUAACCUACGCCACGUGCGACCAUGCCAUACUAUCAUAAUACCUCCCCAUACGCCGGUACAACCAACGCAACGUAUGGGGCCUGUCCCAACGCCGGAUAACCUACGCCACGCGGGACCUCAAUAUCAUAUCACAAAUCUCCCCAUACGCCGGUACAACCAACGCCACGUAUGGGGUCUGUUGACACGCCGGAUAACCUACGCCACGUGCGACCUCAACACAAUAUCACAUAAUCUCCCCGUACGCCGGUACAACCAACGCCACGUACGGGGCCUGUCUCAACGCCGGAUAACCUACGCCACGUGAGACCUGAACGUCAUAUUACGAAUCUCCCCAUACGCCGGUACAACCAACGCCACGUAUGGGGUCUGUCCCAACGCCGGAUAACCUACGCCACGUGGGACCUAACUUUCACUUGGUGGUGCAUGUAGUGAAUCCAACAUCCGGGGAGGUACCUAAAGUAGUGCGUAUAGCACUCCAAACUGACAUCCUAAACUCUGUUGUACCCUUGUACAACCAUAUAUAAUUAUAAUCAUAUAAAUUAAUUCUAACAUUGUGUAACCCUCCACAAUCAUCUAGUACCCGAUAAUCUCCCCUAGAAAGGUGAGAUUACUCUGGGAGACUCACGGUCAACCAAGGGUCAAACUUCUCUAACCCUGGUCAAACGGACCUGCAGAACCCACGACCUCCAAUUUCCGAUCCGGAAGUCCCUAUGGGUUCUACCAGGUAUAGGACACUUGUCCUACAAGUUGGGUUCAGAUCGGACGGUCGGAUUUCUCACGAUCGCACGAUCCGACGGUUAAUAUAAAAUAUAAACUUAAAAUUAUUAUUCGGAACAUCCGGGGCUCCGAUUCACGAUCCGUGAAUUCCUACACCAUCCUAGAAUUACCUAGAUUAACAUAUAUUAAAUUUGGGACCAUCCGACGGUCCCAACCUAUCGAACCCGGAUAACGCAUACUAUGCGAUUAUCCGUUCGAUAGUCAAACGACGUCCGAAUUGAGAUCCGCGAAAUCCUACGCACUCGUGACAACCUAAGGAUCUCAUCGGAACACAUCGCUACUUUUUCUACAGUGCCCACGCGCCGCCGCACGCGCCGGCAGCGCGUGGGUGCCCAAAGCGAUAACGCUUCGCCGGAAAAUCUCAACAUCUCGGCUCCAAACUCCUACCCUAGGUAUAACACCCUAUUUGGAGCCACUUUUGUUCUUGGACCUACCCCAAAAAGUGGCCGGAAAUGGCCGAUCAAGGCGGCCGAAGUUUUGGCCGAUUUUCAAUUCGAAAAUCGAGUGAUCUAGAGAUCGAAUCGAUCAAAACCCAACCAACAGGCAGCUAGAACAGCUCGAGAGGUUCAAAAUCCAUACCUGGGUCGACGGAAUUGGUGGCCGGAGGAGGGAGAUCGACGGCGUUGAAGUUUCGACGACUUUCCGGUGGUUUUCUGCAUUUUCCGGCCAGCACAGGCCAUGUCGCCGGCGGGGAACGGUUGGGGAAGGAAGGGGACGUCGUCCCGGUCGUUUUGGUACCGGCCCCGCCCACAGCCGUGGUCGGUGGCCGGAGAUACGAGGAGAGAAAGAGAGAGGGCCGACGGGAGAGAGAGAGAAGUCGCGGGAGAGAGAGAGAGAGAGAGAGAGAAACCAGAUUUUAUAAAAAAAAUCCCAUUUUGAAAUAUUUACGAUUAUGCCACUGGGUUUCUUUUGACCAUAUCUCUCUCGUUACAACUCCGAUUCGAGCCCACUACGUGUCUAUGAACUCGUCUCAGUACGACCUAUCCAAAAAUACAAGUCGCGGU
rnacentral:lncRNA from 1 species